GGAAGUUUCCCAGGGCUCUGUCCUCUUCAGACUAGGAGUUCUCUAACUAAGUGACCUCAAACUAACUGACAGCCUUCGAACUAACACGGAAACAGCCCACCUGGGAACAAAGUCAGCAUGGAGUAAACUGAUCUGGAAGAUACUAAGAGCUGGAGAGGCAGAGAUCUGAUAACAUCAGGCCCUGGAUCCAGCCAUUCCUGAAGCUAACUCUCUGGAUAUUACUGCUAUGUGAGCCCAAGGCUUGAGUUCCUAAGCACAAGACUCGUCUGCCAUUGGACAGAGCCUGCUGCAGGUCUGGACCGCCCUGAGUGCUCCACCCCCCAAGUCGUCCUCAAAGGGGUGGAAGUGGCUUCUUCUGGCAAAGUGCCCUCUCCAGUCCACACGCCAGGGCUCCCAUUUUUUAUUGAGGAAGUAGUGGCCUACUCCACUUUUGAACUUGAGCCUCUAUAUCUUUUGCCAGGUAAUAAACAGAGCAGCUCAGUAAAUGUUGAGAAUCGAAAUAGGGGAGGUAAGGGGAAAUGGAUGUGUGUAAGUGGAGUAAAAGAAAGCUGGCCUAAUUUUGUUCAUUACCAUGCCCCCAGUGUAUACAACAGAGGCUGAGCAGGUGCUCAAUCCAGUUACCCAAGAAAUGAGCCCAGCUUAACCUUCUCUUUGGGUGAAUGGGGAAACUGAAUCUUGGCGCUCCUCAGCUUUUCAGUCCUUUUCCCCAGCAGCUGAAUGCAGAACUUGGCUCAAAGCAGUGGCU
ensembl:lncRNA